AUCCAGAGAAUUUAGCAGAGAUGCUUUAGUGCCUUCGGGAACUCUGAGACAGGUGCUGCAUGGCUGUCGUCAGCUCGUGUUGUGAAAUGUUGGGUUAAGUCCCGNAACGAGCGCAACCCCUAUCCUUUGUUGCCAUCGAUUCGGUCGGGAACUCAAAGGAGACUGCCGGUGAUAAACCGGAGGAAGGUGGGGAUGACGUCAAGUCAUCAUGGCCCUUACGAGUAGGGCUACACACGUGCUACAAUGGCGCAUACAAAGAGAAGCGACCUCGCGAGAGCAAGCGGACCUCAUAAAGUGCGUCGUAGUCCGGAUUGGAGUCUGCAACUCGACUCCAUGAAGUCGGAAUCGCUAGUAAUCGUAGAUCAGAAUGCUACGGUGAAUACGUUCCCGGGCCUUGUACACACCGCCCGUCACACCAUGGGAGUGGGUUGCAAAAGAAGUAGAUAGCUUAACCUUCGGGAGGGCGUUUACCACUUUGUGAUUCAUGACUGGGGUGAAGUCGUAACAAGGUAAGCGUACGUGU
rnacentral:rRNA from 1 species